rnacentral:rRNA from 1 species
AGAACGAACGCUGGCGGCAGGCUUAACACAUGCAAGUCGAACGCCCGUAGCAAUACGGGAGUGGCAGACGGGUGAGUAACGCGUGGGAACGUACCCUUCGGUUCGGAAUAACCCGGGGAAACUCGGGCUAAUACCGGAUACGUCCGCAAGGAGAAAGAUUUAUUGCCGAAGGAUCGGCCCGCGUCCGAUUAGCUAGUUGGUGGGGUAAUGGCCCACCAAGGCGACGAUCGGUAGCUGGUCUGAGAGGAUGAUCAGCCACACUGGGACUGAGACACGGCCCAGACUCCUACGGGAGGCAGCAGUGGGGAAUAUUGGACAAUGGGCGAAAGCCUGAUCCAGCCAUGCCGCGUGAGUGAAGAAGGCCUUAGGGUGUAAAGCUCUUUCGCCGAUGAAGAUAAGUGACGGUAGUCGGAGAAGAAGCCCCGGCUAACUUCGUGCCAGCAGCCGGC